rnacentral:lncRNA from 1 species
GGAGGAGGGGGAGGAGUGCAGCGGCGUGGAUGGGGGAGGAAGGGAAGUCGAAGUAGAAGGUGAGGGAGACGUGGGUUGUUAGCGGGUGAGCGGAGUCGGUGUACGAGUGUGGAUCGAUCGGCGCCAUUCUGGUUCCGGACGGUGAGGUCUGUUUUUCUUUUGCUUUAGUGGUGGGGUGGAAAUGGUUUUUAUUUGGUGGGAGGGAAAAAUAUUUGAGAAGGCGAAAUGUUCUGUAUGUAUGUUUUGGAUAAUUAAAAUAAAAAAAUAUUACUUGACAUAAUAUUUUUUUAUUGUAGAAGUCCGAU